UACAGAGUAGAGGUCUGCGCGUUAAGUGCUGAACGAACGGGGAGUUGUCGUUCAGACGAAAAGGGUAAAACCCUUGCGGUGCAGAUCUUGCAUCCCGCUGAA
rfam:Ruminococcus sp. CAG:579 genomic scaffold, scf175